CGCGGGAUUAGAGUUUGAUCAUGGCUCAGAUUGAACGCUGGCGGCAGGCCUAACACAUGCAAGUCGAGCGGUAACACAAGGGAGCUUGCUCCUGAGGUGACGAGCGGCGGACGGGUGAGUAAUGCCUAGGUAUCUGCCCAGUCGAGGGGGAUAACAGUUGGAAACGACUGCUAAUACCGCAUACGCCCUACGGGGGAAAGGAGGGGACCUUCGGGCCUUCCGCGAUUGGAUGAACCUAGGUGGGAUUAGCUAGUUGGUGAGGUAAUGGCUCACCAAGGCGACGAUCCCUAGCUGGUCUGAGAGGAUGAUCAGCCACACUGGAACUGAGACACGGUCCAGACUCCUACGGGAGGCAGCAGUGGGGAAUAUUGCACAAUGGGCGAAAGCCUGAUGCAGCCAUGCCGCGUGUGUGAAAAAGGCCUUCGGGUUGUAAAGCACUUUCAGCGAGGAGGAAAGGUUAAGCCUUAAUACGGCUUAGCUGUGACGUUACUCGCAGAAGAAGCACCGGCUAACUUCGUGCCAGCAACCGCGGUAAUACGAGGGGUGCAAGCGUUAAUCGGAAUUACUGGGCGUAAAGCGUACGCAGGCGGUUUGUUAAGCAAGAUGUGAAAGCCCCGGGCUCAACCUGGGAACUGCAUUUUGAACUGGCAAACUAGAGUCCUGUAGAGGGGGGUAGAAUUUCA
rnacentral:rRNA from 1 species